CACUAAGCGGGAGGUAAACUCCUUCUAAGACUAAAUAUUGCCAUGAGACCGAUAGCGAACAAGUACCGUGAGGGAAAGUUGAAAAGCACUCUGAAUAGAGAGUCAAAAAGUACGUGAAACUGUCUAGGGUUAAGAAAGCAUGAAGUGUCUAAAUAUCUGAAUGGAGAAAUUCAGUAUCAUAUUGUUGUAGUUAAAUUUUAACGAAGCAUAUGGUGUGCACUUUUCUCCUUGUAAGACACUGCGAUCCAUUAGAACCUUGUGUUAAAAACUACCAUGAUGUGAGUUUUUAUAUCUAUCAAUGGGCCCGACAUGGAGCUUACAUAUUUUAUGUUAGUACUAAAUAUUGUUAAGGUGAUAUAUAGGAAAGCAAUGUAAACUGUUGGUGACUCGCAUAGAUGUCUGAUGGAUUUUAAGCGUUUAUAAUAUGACACCUUGGUGUAACCAGAAAUGGUUUUUUGUAUUAUAUCGGAUCAGCAGUGUAUUUGUUUAGUAAUCUUCAUGA
rnacentral:rRNA from 1 species